GAGUUUGAUCAUGGCUCAGAUUGAACGCUGGCGGCAGGCCUAACACAUGCAAGUCGAACGGUAACAGGAAACAGCUUGCUGUUUCGCUGACGAGUGGCGGACGGGUGAGUAAUGUCUGGGAAACUGCCUGAUGGAGGGGGAUAACUACUGGAAACGGUAGCUAAUACCGCAUAACGUCGCAAGACCAAAGAGGGGGACCUUCGGGCCUCCUGCCAUCAGAUGUGCCCAGAUGGGAUUAGCUAGUAGGUGGGGUAACGGCUCACCUAGGCGACGAUCCCUAGCUGGUCUGAGAGGAUGACCAGCCACACUGGAACUGAGACACGGUCCAGACUCCUACGGGAGGCAGCAGUGGGGAAUAUUGCACAAUGGGCGCAAGCCUGAUGCAGCCAUGCCGCGUGUAUGUAGAAGGCCUUCGGGUUGUAAAGUACUUUCAGCGGGGAGGAAGGGAGUAAAGUUAAUACCUUUGCUCAUUGACGUUACCCGCAGAAGAAGCACCGGCUAACUCCGUGCCAGCAGCCGCGGUAAUACGGAGGGUGCAAGCGUUAAUCGGAAUUACUGGGCGUAAAGCGCACGCAGGCGGUUUGUUAAGUCAGAUGUGAAAUCCCCGGGCUCAACCUGGGAACUGCAUCUGAUACUGGCAAGCUUGAGUCUCGUAGAGGGGGGUAGAAUUCCAGGUGUAGCGGUGAAAUGCGUAGAGAUCUGGAGGAAUACCGGUGGCGAAGGCGGCCCCCUGGACGAAGACUGACGCUCAGGUGCGAAAGCGUGGGGAGCAAACAGGAUUAGAUACCCUGGUAGUCCACGCCGUAAACGAUGUCGACUUGGAGGUUGUGCCCUUGAGGCGUGGCUUCCGGAGCUAACGCGUUAAGUCGACCGCCUGGGGAGUACGGCCGCAAGGUUAAAACUCAAAUGAAUUGACGGGGGCCCGCACAAGCGGUGGAGCAUGUGGUUUAAUUCGAUGCAACGCGAAGAACCUUACCUGGUCUUGACAUCCACGGAAGUUUUCAGAGAUGAGAAUGUGCCUUCGGGAACCGUGAGACAGGUGCUGCAUGGCUGUCGUCAGCUCGUGUUGUGAAAUGUUGGGUUAAGUCCCGCAACGAGCGCAACCCUUAUUUUGUUGCCAGCGGUCCGGCCGGGAACUCAAAGGAGACUGCCAGUGAUAAACUGGAGGAAGGUGGGGAUGACGUCAAGUCAUCAUGGCCCUUACGACCAGGGCUACACACGUGCUACAAUGGCGCAUACAAAGAGAAGCGACCUCGCGAGAGCAAGCGGACCUCAUAAAGUGCGUCGUAGUCCGGAUUGGAGUCUGCAACUCGACUCCAUGAAGUCGGAAUCGCUAGUAAUCGUGGAUCAGAAUGCCACGGUGAAUACGUUCCCGGGCCUUGUACACACCGCCCGUCACACCAUGGGAGUGGGUUGCAAAAGAAGUAGGUAGCUUAACCUUCGGGAGGGCGCUUACCACUUUGUGAUUCAUGACUGGGGUGAAGUCGCAACAAGGUAACCGUAGGGGAACCUGCGGUUG
rnacentral:rRNA from 1 species